rnacentral:misc_RNA from 1 species
UUUCCGUAGGUGAACCUGCGGAAGGAUCAUUCAUAAUAAGUGUUUUAUGGCACUUUUUUAAAUCCAUAUCCACCUUGUGUGCAAUGUCAGGGUUGAUUUUUCUCUCGAGAGGAUCAACCCCAAACAUCAACAAUAUCUCAACUCUUUGUCUGAAAAAUAUUAUGAAUAAAACAAUUCAAAAUACAACUUUCAACAACGGAUCUCUUGGCUCUC